UGGCUAACUCCUACGGGAGGCAGCAGUGGGGAAUAUUGCACAAUGGGCGCAAGCCUGAUGCAGCGACGCCGCGUGGGGGAUGAAGGCCUUCGGGUUGUAAACCCCUUUCAGCAGGGAAGAAGCGAAAGUGACGGUACCUGCAGAAGAAGCGCCGGCUAACUACGUGCCAGCAGCCGCGGUAAUACGUAGGGCACAAGCGUUGUCCGGAAUUAUUGGGCGUAAAGAGCUCGUAGGCGGUCUGUCGCGUCUGCUGUGAAAUCCCGAGGCUCAACCUCGGGCCUGCAGUGGGUACGGGCAGACUAGAGUGUGGUAGGGGAGACUGGAAUUCCUGGUGUAGCGGUGGAAUGCGCAGAUAUCAGGAGGAACACCGAUGGCGAAGGCAGGUCUCUGGGCCACAACUGACGCUGAGGAGCGAAAGCGUGGGGAGCGAACAGGAUUAGAUACCCGUGUAGUCCAGCUGG
rnacentral:rRNA from 1 species